rnacentral:rRNA from 1 species
GAUGAACGCUGGCGGCGUGCUUAACACAUGCAAGUCGAACGGGAAACCUUUUAUUGAAGCUUCGGCAGAUUUAGCUGGUUUCUAGUGGCGGACGGGUGAGUAACGCGUGGGUAACCUGCCUUAUACAGGGGGAUAACAGUCAGAAAUGGCUGCUAAUACCGCAUAAGCGCACAGAGCUGCAUGGCUCAGUGUGAAAAACUCCGGUGGUAUAAGAUGGACCCGCGUUGGAUUAGCUGGUUGGUGGGGUAACGGCCCACCAAGGCGACGAUCCAUAGCCGGCCUGAGAGGGUGAACGGCCACAUUGGGACUGAGACACGGCCCAGACUCCUACGGGAAGCAGCAGUGGGGAAUAUUGCACAAUGGGGGAAACCCUGAUGCAGCGACGCCGCGUGAAGGAAGAAGUAUCUCGGUAUGUAAACUUCUAUCAGCAGGGAAGAUAAUGACGGUACCUGACUAAGAAGCCCCGGCUAACUACAUG